UACUGACUAAAAUUGGAAUGAUGCAAAGAAGAUUAACAUGGCUGCUGCAUAAGGAUGGCAUGCAAAUUCAAAACACAGUCACCACCACC
rnacentral:snRNA from 1 species